rnacentral:rRNA from 1 species
CAUCAGAGUGAGAUUAAGCCAUGCGAGUCAACGUAGCAAUACGUGGCACACGGCUCAGUAACACGUAGUCAACAUAACCAAAGGACGUGGAUAAUCUCGGGAAACUGAGGCUAAACCGCGAUAGACCAAGAUACCUGGAAUGGUUUUUGAUCAAAAUCUAUAUGGCCCUUGGAUUGGACUGCGUCCGAUCAGGCUGUUGGUGAGGUAAUGGCCCACCAAACCUAUAACCGGUACGGGCUCUGAGAGGAGGAGCCCGGAGAUGGGUACUGAGACAAGGACCCAGGCCCUAUGGGGCGCAGCAGGCGCGAAACCUCUGCAAUAGGCGAAAGCCUGACAGGGUUACUCUGAGUGACUUUCGCUAAGAAAGUCUUUUGACAUCUGUAAAAAUGGUGUAGAAUAAGGGGUGGGCAAGUC